rnacentral:rRNA from 1 species
CGUUAGCGGCGGACGGGUGAGUAACACGUGGGGUAACCUACCUAUAAGACUGGGAUAACUUCGGGAAACCGGAGCUAAUACCGGAUAAUAUUUCGAACCGCAUGGUUCGAUAGUGAAAGGUGGUUUUGCUAUCACUUAUAGAUGGACCCGCGCCGUAUUAGCUAGUUGGUAAGGUAACGGCUUACCAAGGCGACGAUACGUAGCCGACCUGAGAGGGUGAUCGGCCACACUGGAACUGAGACACGGUCCAGACUCCUACGGGAGGCAGCAGAU